GAUCCAGUGGCGAAGUGGUAUCGCGCCCGGUUGAACUGAUCGUGCUGAAAGAGAAUUUUCCGUGGAAGUCACCCGUUCGAUUCGGGUCUGGGUCU